rnacentral:rRNA from 1 species
AGGGGCCCUUUNNGGGNUUNNUAAAGUACCUUUUCCAGCCNGUGAGGAAGGUGGAGUAUUUUUAAUAGCAUAAUUCAUUUGACGUUAGCUGCAGAAGAAGCCCCGGCUAACUCCGUGCCCAGCAGCCGCGGUAAUACGGAGGGUGCGAGCGUUAAUCGGAAUUACUGGGCGUAAAGCGCAUGCAGGUGGUUUGUUAAGUCAGAUGUGAAAGCCCGGGGCUCAACCUCGGAAUUGCAUUUGAAACUGGCAAACUAGAGUACUGUAGAGGGGGGUAGAAUUUCAGGUGUAGCGGUGAAAUGCGUAGAGAUCUGAAGGAAUACCGGUGGCGAAGGCGGCCCCCUGGACAGAUACUGACACUCAGAUGCGAAAGCGUGGGGAGCAAACAGGAUUAGAUACCCUGGUAGUCCACGCCGUAAACGAUGUCUACUUGGAGGUUGUGGCCUUGAGCCGUGGCUUUCGGAGCUAACGCGUUAAGUAGACCGCCUGGGGAGUACGGUCGCAAGAUUAAAACUCAAAUGAAUUGACGGGGGCCCGCGCAAGCGGUGGAGCAUGUGGUUUAAUUCGAUGCAACGCGAAGAACCUUACCUACUCUUGACAUCUACAGAAGCCAGCGGAGACGCAGGUGUGCCUUCGGGAACUGUAAGACAGGUGCUGCAUGGCUGUCGUCAGCUCGUGUUGUGAAAUGUUGGGUUAAGUCCCGCAACGAGCGCAACCCUUAUCCUUGUUUGCCAGCACUUCGGGUGGGAACUCCAGGGAGACUGCCGGUGAUAAACCGGAGGAAGGUGGGGACGACGUCAAGUCAUCAUGGCCCUUACGAGUAGGGCUACACACGUGCUACAAUGGCGCAUACAGAGGGCGGCCAACUUGCGAAAGUGAGCGAAUCCCAAAAAGUGCGUCGUAGUCCGGAUUGGAGUCUGCAACUCGACUCCAUGAAGUCGGAAUCGCUAGUAAUCGUGGAUCAGAAUGCCACGGUGAAUACGUUCCCGGGCCUUGUACACACCGCCCGUCACACCAUGGGAGUGGGCUGCAAAAGAAGUGGGUAGUUUAACCUUCGGGAGGACGCUCACCACUUUGUGGUUCAUGACUGGGGUGAAGUCGUAACAAGGUAGCCG